rnacentral:piRNA from 1 species
UAAGUAACGAACUAACGUAUU